GCAGGGGGUGAGGGGGGCUACAAAUUGUUGAGCUAUCAGUGCUGGGCUUGAUGGAUGGUACAGAACGAGGGGCAAGUUGCUGUCCCCCAAGACAGCUCUGGCACCAGGACACAGCCUGAGCUCCUGGUGUCUACUGACUUCCUCCAAGUCCACCCCCACCAACCCCGUUCUCCCCAACUUGCUUUUUGCUGCCUGCUCACAGCCCAUCCGUCAAACCAUGCCCUGAAGCUGACCUUUUGCAGAGAACAGCCAGCCUGAGAGAACCAUUUCUUGCUGAAACACCUCACCAAGGAGUUUUAUUAAUGCUGGCAGGCCCAGCAGUAAACAGUGUGGCACAGCUACCUCACCGUAUCCUCUGCCUGCCUCCUUACCCAUGAGUUUUUUCAGCUUUGAACAAGAAGGAAGAGUGUGACCAGAUUGCUUUAGCAGAAUUCCUGGUUUUCUUGCUCAGUACCAACCCACUUCUGUCCCAGGGCAACAUGGGAAAGGCCAAGAAGAUUCACUUCAUCCCUUUGCAGCCAGCCCUGCCUGAAUCCCAAAAUGGACCCAAGGCUCACACCGUUGGAGGCAGCUAUGUUGCAGCUCUGGGUAGUUUUUCUGAAGGUGACUACCUUUGUCAUGACCCAUGCAUCACUCGAGGCCCCACUCCCUUGUCUGAGCUAACUGUCUGACAUGUGUCAAGUGGACCCUGUCACUGAAGCCAUCAAAUUUCAGUUUUGGAGAAGAUCUCCAAGAGAUUGCUUCAGCCCCUUCUCAAAUCUACCCCCAUCUGCUAUCAACUCCUCUUGAGUCAAAUAUAUAGUUCUUAUUUCAA